UACGUAGGGGGCAAGCGUUGUCCGGAUUUACUGGGCGUAAAGAGCGUGUAGGCGGCCACGCAGGUCCGUUGUGAAAACUGGAGGCUCAACCUCCAGCUGUCGACGGAAACCGUAUGGCUAGAGUCCGGAAGAGGAGAGUGGAAUUCCUGGUGUAGCGGUGAAAUGCGCAGAUAUCAGGAAGAACACCAAUGGCGAAGGCAGCUCUCUGGGACGGUAUUGACGCUGAGACGCGAAAGCGUGGGGAGCGAACAGG
rnacentral:rRNA from 1 species